UUGUUCUGUAUGUGUGUCUUGUUUCCUUGUGAGAACUCAUUCAGGACAGAAGUGAAAAGCAAAGUUAAUGCAGACAGUUCUGCUUUUGCAAAGUCCUUCUGAUUCUCAGUGCUGAGACUCUACUCUCAUGAAGGCGCCAUCAGGCUUUGUUCACAUUCCCUGAUGACAGAAAGCACCAGCAAAAAUUGGCAGAGGAGAGCUUUCCUGAUGAUGAGGAAUCCUGUCAUAGGGCUAGGGGAGAUAGCGGUUGUGACAGGGACUGGGGCUGCCUCUGGGAUCUGUAAACUUCCACUACCCUCAGUGACAAGCACUCUCAGUGGGACCAGCCAUGCAGCAAGAGGUUUUGAAAUGGAGAAGAGAGAACCUCCUCCCUAUCACAGGUCACCAAAAUCCCAGUGAUCCUCCAGAGUAUUCAGUAUUAUAAAGCUUGGCAGUAUUGUAGUAAU